rnacentral:rRNA from 1 species
AUGGCAGGGACGACGGUGAGCAUGGCGAUGAUGAUGCUUGUGGGCGCCAUCAGCAAGGCCGCCUCCGCUGCCGCUGCCGAGAUGAGCCUCCUCAUGGGCGUCCGGAAGGACAUCUGGUUCAUCAAAGAUGAGCUAGAGACCAUGUACGCCUUUCUUUUGGCCACUGAAGCAACAAAGAACAAAAACAUAUUGCUGAAGGUUUGGGCAAAGCAAAUAAGGGACCUGGCCUAUGGUAUUGAAGAUUGUCUUGAUGAAUUUAUGGUGCACGUGAAAAGCCAUAGCUUGUCUUGCCAGCUAUUUAAGAUAAAAGACCGUCAUCGCAUCGCCAACCAAAUUCGCAAUCUAAAAUCAAGAGUUGAAGAGGUGAGCAGUAGGAAUACACAUUAUAACAAGAUCAUGACCGAUGCCUCCAACAGUGUUGACAAGGUGAAUUCUUACAUGGAAGAUAUUCGCAGCCACUCAGCUGGCAACAUUGACGAGGCAGAGCUUGUGGGCUUUGUUAAGCCUAAAGAAGAGUUGAUUAAGAUGAUGGAUGUCAACGCUGGAGAUGGUCUUUCCAAGGUGAUUUGUGUUGUUGGCAUGGGCGGUUUAGGAAAGACUACUCUAGCAAGGAAGUUAUAUGAAAGUAAGGUAAACAUUGUUAGUAAAUUUUCUUGUUGUGCUUGGGUCACUGUCUCAAAAUCGUUUUCUAAGAUAGAGAUGCUCAAGGACAUGAUUAGGCAGCUUUUGGGUUCUGGUUCACUGAAGAAAUGCUUGAAUGAACUUGAAGGAAAGGAAGUGCAAGUAGAUGAUCUAGGCAACUACCUUAGAGAAGAGCUAGUGGAGAAGAGGUAUUUUAUUGUUCUUGAUGACUUGUGGACCAUAGAUGCAUGGAAGGGGAUAACGAAUAUUGCUUUUCCUGUUAGUAACAAUAAAUGUAGCCGGGUAAUAGUAACAACUAGAGAUGUUGGUUUGGCUGAGCAGUGCACUUCUGAAUCACUUAUCUACCACCUUAAACACCUCCAAAUUAGUGAUGCCACAAAUUUGCUACUUAGAAAGAGUAGGAAAACACGGGAAGACAUGAAAAAUGAUAAGAAAAUGAAGAUCGUGGUUACUAAAAUUAUGAAGAAGUGUGGCGGUCUACCACUGGCUAUACUCACUAUAGGAGGCAUUCUUGCCACCAAAAAGCUAACAGAGUCGGAAAGUAUUUACAAGCAGAUCCCCUCGGAACUCGAGAGCAACCCUAGCCUUGAAGCAUUAAGGAGCAUAGUCACUCUGAGUUACAACUAUUUGCCAUCUCAUCUCAAGUCAUGCUUUCUGUAUUUAAGCUUAUUUCCUGAAGAUUUUGAAAUCAAAAGGAGACGUGUGGUAGAGAGAUGGAUAGUAGAGGGGUUUGUUAGAACCAAUGGUGGAGUAAACAUCGAAGAUGUUGGAAUAAGUUACUUUAAUGAGCUAAUCAACCGAAGCAUGAUUCAGCCCUCAAGAGUGAACAUGGAAGGAAUCGUUAAGAGUUGUCGAGUACAUGAUAUCAUGCGUGAUGUCAUGGUCUCAAUUUCUAGAGAUGAAAAUUUUGUGAACAUUGCAAGUGGUAAUGCAGCUAGUCCUGUAGAGCAGAACUUCCGUCAUGUAUCAUACCAUGGUAGCAAGUGCCAAAACAUAGACACAUAUUGGUGCAAUAAUGUUCGCUCGGUGACUGUAUUUGGUGAGAGAUCCAUCGAGCAAUCAUCUCCAGUCUUUUCACAUGACUUAAGAAUGCUUAGAGCCAUGGAUCUAGAGGAUGCACAAUUUAAAAUCACCCAGAAAGAUAUAGAAAUUAUAGGACUGUUGCGGCACUUGAAGUAUGUGAAUAUUCAGUGUGGUAGCAAUUCACAUGUUUGCAAACUUCCAAGAUCUAUUGGUAAGCUACAAUACUUGCAAACUUUGGACAUACGUAACACAUAUAUCACAUCAUUGCCAGCUGAAAUUGGUAAACUCCAAAGUCUGCAUAGCCUCCGUUGUGGAAGAAAGUACUGGCACAAUGAUUCAGAUUCAUAUGUGCCAAUUGGAUGUUUGGUGGACACAUUGUGUCUACCCAUGAUGUUCACACCUUUGGGUAAUCCUGAUCUUCAUGAUUAUUUGAUUGCUGAGCUACGCAUGGUAUACUCUGGUCGUUGGUUCAAGUCUGAGGGUUUGAGGGUGCCCAAAGGAAUUGGUAACUUAAAAGAGUUACACAUAUUGGAGGUUGUGGACAUCAAGAGAACUUGUAGGAGAGCAACUAAAGAGCUAGGGAAGCUUACACAACUACAAAAACUGAGAGUUGUAGCAGAAGGAGCCUCCACGAAAAAAUGUAAGAUACUUUGUGCAGCCAUCGAGGAGCUAUCUUCCCUAUCAUCUCUUGGUGUGGAUGCUGGAUCACUCAAGUGGAUCGAUUCUAUAUCCUGCCCUCCCCCCUUCUUGAGGACCCUGAAGUUGGAUGGACUUCUUGGAGAGGUGCCAGGCUGGUUCAAGCAUCUUAUGAAUUUGGUGAAACUUUACCUUAAAGGGAGCCAUAUGAAGGAAGGAGGUAAAAGCAUGGAGAUAUUGGGGGCACUGCCUAACCUCAUGCUCCUUCAUCAAUAUUCAAAUUCUUAUGGUGGGGAGAAGCUCGUGUUUAAAGUGGGAUCAUUUCCAAAGCUACGGAAGCUUGACGUCUUUCUUCAUUGUAAAUUGACGGAGCUGAGAUUCGAGGAGGGCACCUCGCCCUACCUUGAAAAGAUAGAAAUUGGUGACUGCAUGUUAAGAUCAGGGAUUAUUGGUAUCCAACACCUUCCAAGGCUCAACGAGAUUUCACUUGGAGAUGGUUGUAAAGUGGCCAAACUUGGUUUACUGCAAGGCGAAGUGGAGGCACACCCCAACCAUCCUGUGUUGCGACUGCUCUGGGGAAGGGGUUACCAUGACCUUAGGGUAGUCACCGAUGUCUCCAGUGCUGCUGCACAAGUGAUAGAAGUAGCGACGGGACCAUCAGUUGUUCUUUCCGAGCAGGCAGCAGUAGGAGAGCGCUCCUCACAGGUGCUGACAGGGAGCGAUAGCGAAGACGAUCUGCGCUGA